rnacentral:rRNA from 1 species
CUGUGUGUUGUUGGGUAGGGGAGCGUUCUGUAAGCCUGUGAAGGUGUGUCGUGAGGCAUGCUGGAGGUAUCAGAAGUGCGAAUGCUGACAUAAGUAACGAUAAAGCGGGUGAAAAGCCCGCUCGCCGGAAGACCAAGGGUUCCUGUCCAACGUUAAUCGGGGCAGGGUGAGUCGACCCCUAAGGCGAGGCCGAAAGGCGUAGUCGAUGGGAAACGGGUUAAUAUUCCCGUACUUGGUGUUACUGCGAAGGGGGGACGGAGAAGGCUAUGUUGGCCGGGCGACGGUUGUCCCGGUUUAAGCGUGUAGGUGUGUGUUCCAGGUAAAUCCGGUUCACUUUAACACUGAGGCGUGACGACGAGGCACUACGGUGCUGAAGCAACAAAUGCCCUGCUUCCAGGAAAAGCCUCUAAGCAUCAGGUAACAUCAAAUCGUACCCCAAACCGACACAGGUGGUCAGGUAGAGAAUACCAAGGCGCUCGAGAGAACUCGGGUGAAGGAACUAGGCAAAAUGGUGCCGUAACUUCGGGAGAAGGCACGCUGACACGUAGGUGAAGUGAUUUACUCAUGGAGCUGAAGUCAGUCGAAGAUACCAGCUGGCUGCAACUGUUUAUUAAAAACACAGCACUGUGCAAACACGAAAGUGGACGUAUACGGUGUGACGCCUGCCCGGUGCCGGAAGGUUAAUUGAUGGGGUCAGCGCAAGCGAAGCUCCUGAUCGAAGCCCCGGUAAACGGCGGCCGUAACUAUAACGGUCCUAAGGUAGCGAAAUUCCUUGUCGGGUAAGUUCCGACCUGCACGAAUGGCGUAAUGAUGGCCAGGCUGUCUCCACCCGAGACUCAGUGAAAUUGAACUCGCUGUGAAGAUGCAGUGUACCCGCGGCAAGACGGAAAGACCCCGUGAACCUUUACUAUAGCUUGACACUGAACAUUGAGCCUUGAUGUGUAGGAUAGGUGGGAGGCUUUGAAGUGUGGACGCCAGUCUGCAUGGAGCCGACCUUGAAAUACCACCCUUUAAUGUUUGAUGUUCUAACGUGGACCCGUUACCCGGGUUGCGGACAGUGUCUGGUGGGUAGUUUGACUGGGGCGGUCUCCUCCUAAAGAGUAACGGAGGAGCACGAAGGUUGGCUAAUCCUGGUCGGACAUCAGGAGGUUAGUGCAAUGGCAUAAGCCAGCUUGACUGCGAGCGUGACGGCGCGAGCAGGUGCGAAAGCAGGUCAUAGUGAUCC